rnacentral:rRNA from 1 species
GGCGCCAGCAGUGGAGUAUGUGGUUUAUUCGAAGCAACGCGAAGAACCUUACCAGGUCUUGACAUCCAACUAACGAAGUAGAGAUACAUUAGGUGCCCUUCGGGGAAAGUUGAGACAGGUGGUGCAUGGUUGUCGUCAGCUCGUGUCGUGAGAUGUUGGGUUAAGUCCCGCAACGAGCGCAACCCUUGCUAUUAGUUGCUACGCAAGAGCACUCUAAUAGGACUGCCGUUGACAAAACGGAGGAAGGUGGGGACGACGUCAAAUCAUCAUGCCCCUUAUGACCUGGGCUACACACGUACUACAAUGGAUGUUAACAGAGGGAAGCAAGACAGNGAUGUGGAGCAAACCCCUAAAAACAUUCUCAGUUCAGAUUGCAGGCUGCAACCCGCCUGCAUGAAGAUGGAAUUGCUAGUAAUCGCGGAUCAGCAUGCCGCGGUGAAUACGUUCCCGGGCCUUGUACACACCGCCCGU